rnacentral:rRNA from 1 species
GACGAACGCUGGCGGCGUGCUUAACACAUGCAAGUCGAACGAAGAGCGAUGGAAUCUUGCUUCUAUCAAUCUUAGUGGCGAACGGGUGAGUAACGCGUAAUCAACCUUCCCUUCAGAGGGGGACAACAGUUGGAAACGACUGCUCAUACCGCAUACGAUCUAACCUCGGCAUCGAGGAGAGAUUAAAGGUGGCCUCUACAUGUAAGCUAUCACUGAAGGAUGGGAGUGCGUCUGAUUAGCUAGUUGGAGGGGUAACGGCCCACCAAGGCGAUGAUCAGUAGCAGGGCGGAGAGGAUGAACGGCCACCUUGGGACGGAGACACGGCACAGAGGCCUACGGGAGGCAGCCGGGGGGCAUCGUCCGCCAGGGACGAAAGUCUGACGGAGAAACGCCGCGGGAGGGAUGACGGCCGUCGGGUUGUAAAGGUCGGUUAAUCGGGACGAAAGGCCUUCUUGCGAAUAGUGAGAAGGAUUGACGGUACCGGAAUAGAAAGCCACGGCUAACUACGUG